rnacentral:lncRNA from 1 species
GGCCCCCUAAGAAUCGAGGCAUAGUGGCCUCAGGAUUUUCUUGGAUUUUCACCCAAAUCAUAGUCACCUCCAUCUCUUUGUGGUACUCUUCUACUGAAUUGUAUCCUUGAGUGAAGUACUUAAGCUUCUAGUUCAUAUCUCUAUUGAAGUAAUAUAGUACAAACUUUUUCCUCAUGAUGGAUUUAUCUCCUUGCAUGUUGUAAUAGGCUCAUCUCCAUCUCGGAC